CUGGUGUUCUUCAAAAUUACCCCCAAUUAUCUUAGGGCUUCUUCUAGGUUUCCCGCGACAAUAUGGAAGCUGAAGGUCAAAACACUGCCACAAAUCCGUCCGCAAUGCUCGCCGGUCUUCUAACCAGGAAAGCAAAACUCCACGACGAACUUCGGACUAUCGAGAAGCAGGAAACAAGCACCAGCAAGGACAUCUCUCGUCGUCAUUGAAGUGUUUGUGAGUAUAAUUUGUGAGCAGUGGGUUGGAUUGGUUUCUGCUUGAUGAACCUUGUUUUUGUGCCUAAGCCUUGUGGCUUAUUCAUCUCACAUUGCUACUCUACUCUUUUCGGGCGUGAUCUUUAUCCACCUCAGCGUCUCCUCCAUAUUCUUCAGCACGCCAUCAAUCAACAAUCUCAGAAGUUCAUCCGCGAAUCUCAUGCGCAGGUUAUUACUCAUGGGUUGGAACAAAAUAAUUUCUUGAUAACUAAACUUAUCUCUGCGUACUCAACUUGUGGUGACCUUAAUGAGUCAACUCUCAUAUUUGACUUGGUUUCAACUAGGACUGUUUGCAUAUGGAACUCCUUGAUUAAUGGGUAUGUUAAGAAUUGUGUGUUCCAUGGGGCAUUUCAUCGUUUUAAUGAAAUGCAGCAAUGCGAUAUAGUGCCGGAUGACUUUACACUAUCCACAUUGGCAAAAGCAUCCAGCGAGCUUAGGAAUGUGACUAUUGGGAAAUCGAUUCAUGGGAAGAUUGUUCGACUAGGGUUCAUAUUUGACAUUGUUGUCGCUAAUUCCCUCAUAUCUAUGUAUUUCAAGUAUGGGGAGUGCAAAGAAUCCUUAAAGCUAUUUGAUGAAAUGCCAGAAAGAAAUUCUGGUUCAUGGAAUGUCCUGUUGGCUGGCUAUGCAAGUUCUAAUGAUUGUUUCUAUGUUAAAGAAGCGUGGGACAUUGUUGUUAGAAGCAUGCAGAUAGAUGGAGUAAAACCCGAUGCGUUUACUAUUUCGAGUCUUCUGCCUUUGUGUGGCAAUCCCAUUGGGAAAUUGAAUUAUGGGAAAGAGCUCCAUUGUUAUAUAGUGAAGAACGAAUUGGAUCUUGAUUUUGGUUCAAAUGUUCAUCUCGGUUGCGGCUUGAUUGAUAUGUACUCGAGGGACAAUAAGAUCACUGCCUCUAGGCAUGUAUUUGACCAAAUCAAGCGUAGAAAUAUUUAUGUUUGGACAGCAAUGGUAAGAGGUUAUGUACAAAAUAAAGAUCCAGAUAAGGCAUUGAUUCUUUUCCAGGAAAUGCAGAUGAGAGAUGGAAUAUUACCAAAUAGAAUAUCCCUUAUUAGUCUUCUCCCGGCUUGUAAUUCACUUGCUGGAUUAAUGAAUGGAAAACAAAUCCAUGGUUUUGCCAUCAGAAAAGGAUUCAAUGAUGAUGCAUCUUUGUGUAAUGCUCUAAUUGAUAUGUAUUCAAAAUGUGGUAGCUUGGAGAAGGCAAGAAAAGUGUUUGAAUCUGAUUCCUUUCAUAAAGAUACAAUCUCUUGGACUACAUUAAUUUCUGCUUAUGGGUUACACGGACAGGGCAAGGAAUCCAUAAGGUUGUAUAACGAUAUGAUCAAGCUCGGUAUCAAGCCAGAUCAGAUAGCUGUAGUCGGAGUUUUAUCCGCUUGUAGUCGGUCUGGUUUAAUAAAGGAAGGUCUCCAAUUAUACAGCACUGCAGUUCAGGACUAUAGAGUCGAACCAACUGCCGAGAUCUGUGCUGUUAUAGUUGACAUGUUGGGCAAUAUGGGCGAACUCGAACAAGCAUUGAAUUUUAUCAAAAUGAUGCCAGUAGAACCCGGUCCCAGCGUCUGGGGAGCCCUUGUUUCUGCUUCUAUAAGAUACAAGGACUACAAGAUUUUGGAAUUGGCUUACAGAUCUCUUAUUGAGUUAGAACCGGAAAAUCCUUCUAAUUUCAUCUCACUGUCAAAUUUGUAUGCUUCUGCUAGCAGAUGGGAUCUGGUAGCUGAGCUUAGACACACCAUGAAGGAAAGAGGUCUGAGGAAGUCUCCUGGUUGUAGUUGGAUUAACAUCAAUACAAAGACCCAUUGUUUUCAUGUUGCUGAUAAAGCACAUCCAAGUUCCAAGUUGAUUUAUGAAGUUCUAGAUCAUGUUUUCAGUACAAUGAAUGAACCUAUUUCUGAUGAUUUGGAGUAUUGGAUCUAAUCACUUGGCUUCAGAUUUGGCUAAAGUGCUUUUGUGGGCUAUGGGUGGAGGGCUAUGAGAUCGUUCACUCAAUCUCAAGGAAAGAACUCCUUGAGCCUUAGUUGGAAGCUAAAUCAAAGCUAAGCUUGUAGGCGGUAGAGAAAGUCAUUUUGCAGGUAUACCUACGGAUCUAUGUCCCUGAACAGUCUUGAAGAAGGCCACUGCCACUGUGGUAAGGGAAAGAUUCAUUCUCGUAGGCUUGGUAUGAUACAGUUCAGUUCCCUUCCAAUCCUAAUUUGAGGUUAUAGUUUUGAAUCCUGCUUAGCUUUCGUGAUGUUUAAAUACCACAUCAUAGUCGAAGUCUAAAAUAGUCUCUUCAUCUCUUCCUACUAUAACUCAUGAUUAGAAAUUUUAUAAAGUUAUCACGUAAAAGUUUAUUCAUAGAACCUUUCCAGGAUCUUGAAAAGGGUGGUUGCCAAUGUCGAGAUUCCAAGCAUAUUGUGACAUCUGCAACUCUGUAUACUCAAACGUUCGCAAACUUCAUUGGAAGGUUCCCAAGUUUCACAUCCAAGAGACGAGAUCGAGGCAGCUAGUCGAACAGCUCAUUGCAGCCCCAAUGAAAGGGGUGCCCAAACUUUUGACAAACGAAAAAUAUUGUAAAAGUUUGUGAGGAAAAAAAAAAAUAGAGGAUUAUUAAAUAGGAUAUUUUUCGUUGUAUUUUAAAAUUUUAUUAAUGUAUAAAGG